rnacentral:tRNA from 1 species
GAUGCCAAGAUGGUCAGCCUCACAUACCCAAGGACA